rnacentral:rRNA from 1 species
UACGUGAGGGCGCAAGCGUUAUCCGGAAUUAUUAGGCGUAAAGAGGCUCGUAGGCGGUUUGUCGCGUACUGCUGAUGAAAUCCCGAGGCUCAACCUCGGGCCUGCAAGUGGGUACGGGCAGACUGGAGUGCGGUAGGGGAGAAUGGAAUUCCUGGUGUAGCGGUGGAAUGCGCAGAUAAUCAGGAGGAACACCGAUGGCGAAGGCAGUUCUCUGGGCCGUAACUGACGCUGAGGAGCGAAAGCGUGGGGAGCGAAACAGG